UACGUAGGGUCCAAGCGUUAUCCGGAAUUACUGGGCGUAAAGAGUUGCGUAGGUGGCAUGGUAAGUCGGUAGUGAAAUCGUGUGGCUCAACCACAUACACAUUAUUGAAACUGCCAAGCUUGAGUGCGGGAGAGGUAUCUGGAAUUCCCAGUGUAGGAGUGAAAUCCGUAGAUAUUGGGAGGAACACCGAUGGCGUAGGCAGGAUACUAGCCCGUUACUGACACUAAGGCACGAAAGCGUGGGGAGCGAACGGG
rnacentral:rRNA from 1 species